rnacentral:siRNA from 1 species
CACUGAGAUUCAGCCCUUUGUCGC